UGGGGAAUAUUGCACAAUGGGCGCAAGCCUGAUGCAGCCAUGCCGCGUGUAUGAAGAAGGCCUUCGGGUUGUAAAGUACUUUCAGCGGGGAGGAAGGCGAUAAGGUUAAUAACCUUGUCGAUUGACGUUACCCGCAGAAGAAGCACCGGCUAACUCCGUGCCAGCAGCCGCGGUAAUACGGAGGGUGCAAGCGUUAAUCGGAAUUACUGGGCGUAAAGCGCACGCAGGCGGUCUGUCAAGUCGGAUGUGAAAUCCCCGGGCGCAACCUGGGAACUGCAUUCGAAACUGGCAGGCUAGAGUCUUGUAGAGGGGGGUAGAAUUCCAGGUGUAGCGGUGAAAUGCGUAGAGAUCUGGAGGAAUACCGGUGGCGAAGGCGGCCCCCUGGACAAAGACUGACGCUCAGGUGCGAAAGCGUGGGGAGCAAACA
rnacentral:rRNA from 1 species